GGAUUUUCCAGGCAAGAGUACUGGAGUGGGGUGCCAUUGCCUUCUCCCCAGAUGUGCUAACCCCUGUGAUUUCCCAAAUGUAGAAAACUCGAUUGCAUAAUUUGUGGUAGUGGGGGACUGAGUUCACGCUCUCCCUAG
rnacentral:snRNA from 1 species